CAGUAGCCGCGGGAACACGUAGGUGGCAAGCGUUGUCCGGAAUUAUUGGGCGUAAAGGGCUCGCAGGCGGUUUCUUAAGUCUGAUGUGAAAGCCCCCGGCUCAACCGGGGAGGGUCAUUGGAAACUGGGAAACUUGAGCGCAGAAGAGGAGAGUGGAAUUCCACGUGUAGCGGUGAAAUGCGUAGAGAUGUGGAGGAACACCAGUGGCGAAGGCGACUCUCUGGUCUGUAACUGACGCUGAGGAGCGAAAGCGUGGGGAGCGAACAGGAUUAGAUACCCGUGUAGUCCCUGUCUCUUAUAC
rnacentral:rRNA from 1 species